rnacentral:rRNA from 1 species
GACGAACGCUGGCGGCGUGCCUAAUACAUGCAAGUCGAACGAGUUGCGGACGGGUGAGUAACACGUGGGAACCUACCCAUCAGAGGGGGAUAACACUUGGAAACAGGUGCUAAUACCGCAUACUGAUGGAUGGACCCGCGGUGCAUUAGCUAGUAGGUGGGGUAAAGGCUCACCUAGGCGACGAUCUCUAGGUGGUCUGAGAGGAUGGACAGCCACACUGGGACUGCGACACGGCCCAGACUCCUACGGGCGGCAGCAGUGGGGAAUAUUGCACAAUGGGCGCAAGCCUGAUGCAGCCAUGCCGCGUGUGUGAAGAAGGCCUUAGGGUUGUAAAGUACUUUCAGCGGGGAGGCGUUACCCGCAGAAGAAGCACCGGCUAACUCCGUGCCAGCAGCCGCGGUAAUAC